CCACCUGCCUGUGCCAGUGCUUUUUUCACACGGGAAGUGCAACUGGAAGACUGCAAAGCCAGAACCCUCCAGUUCAGGGAAUUUCUCUCUUAAUAUGCCAUCCCUAGGUGCAAAGCUGUGCAGUUUCUUUUAUGAAUGACUAACACAUUGUGUAUUUCUAUUUUUAUCCCUUGUUUCAGCUGACAGAUUAUAAGUGUGUUGCUACAGCUUUACGUACAACACAAGAAAACUGAGUUUUUGAGAAGGCUAAUCGGGAGGCUCAGCAAAGAAAACACUGACAGCAGAGAAGAGCUAAUGUGAAGAGAAGAAGGAGGCUUAGAUCACUGCGUAGAGAGACUGCAUCAACUGGGAAAUUAUUUCAGAACAUCUGAUAUAAUCAGAGAGCUCCCAUCAGGCUUUCGGACAUCAAGCCAAGCCAUGGGAUCAUUGCCAGCGGUUAAAUUGACAGUGUAAAAUGGAAAAAGAGACGAAGAAAGGGUGGAACACCCAUAAUAAAAACACUACAGUGGACAGAUAAUACAGAAAUUUUAUUGUAGCUAACAAUGAACAGGAACCAGCAUCUGCACUGAAGCAGAAAAAGCAGUGAGCGAACACAAGACCAGUGACUGUGACUGCAGACUUGCUGAACUCAUUAAAAGCCAUGACAAGAAAGGUAUAGCCACCUUAUGCAAGAUUUAUGAUGCUGCCUGCAGGAGAAGGUUUGAAGCAAACACUGCCAAAGGAAGCAAGCGAGAAUUAAAAUGAUAUUACUUAAAACGUGUGUAAACAAAGUACAUUGGCAAAGAAAAAAGCCAUGGGAAUACCAAAGGAAGUAUCCCAGACAUUGGGUCAGAAAACACUGUAUCAGCACUUUGCCCUUCACCAGGAAUCACGAGGAAAGGACAUUGACAAACAACUGCAUGCCUGUUCAAGUAAAUCAAGCUUUCUGCUUGUGUACGUUACAGAAAGCUGCAGCGAAGAGGCUUUUGUGUAUUUUUCACUCUGCUGUGCUGUCUCUACUUUAGGUGGGAAACCAAAAUUCAGAGCAGAAAGGUAGAAUAAAAACUUGAAGCACUCGUGCCAAAGUAACAGAUCGGAAGGUCUGAGAAGCAGGGUUCAGCAAAAUACAUGUGCUGGAGCAGACAGACAACUGAACCAUUUUUUAAAUCCCCUUUUUUUUCCCAAACCUUAUUUAUGUAUUAGCCAGAGAGAAGAUAUAAGGUGAAAUACACAUGUUAUUUUUUUCUUUUAAUAUAUGCUCUGAUCAAAACCUGAGAUGAAAUUUCUGUGCUGUAAUUGGCACUACCCAAAGUGCUUUUCCUUUUUGAAGUCAGUGACUAGUUGAAAUAUCACUCUUCUCUAUGGCCUACAGUCACUCUCUGAAACAGCAAGCUAUGUGGGUUAUUUUCAAAGCCCGUGUUACUUUUGGCUGUUGCAGAAAUUUUUCACCCUUGGGUUUUCAGAUUGAACUGGACAUUUUCAACUGACAUGACAAACUUUAGGCAGGGUGUUUUGAAUCCCCACCUCCCCCAGCCCUCAUGCUGUCUGAAGAAUUACCAUGACCAGAAAAGGCUGAUUUCCUUUCACAAGCUGCAGGCGUGACAAGCCAGCACUGAUUGCAAGGAACAGGAACAAACUCCUGCUCGCAGGCUAGUUCCUGAUGGACGGCAGAAAAGGACUUUCUGCGAAGGCCUCCUAUUAAACUAGAGUAAAAAAAAGCUGUGCUAGUAACACAAAUAAAUUUGUACUGCACCCACAAGAGAAACAAAACAGUUUUUGCACGUCUCUUGACAAUAUUUUGGUAAGUGCCUUGCCCCCAAACACCACUGCUCUUCUGUCCUCUUAUGUCCCCUUUUAGCAGUUCUCUGCAGCGUGUUGGUGGUACCCCCCUGCUCUCUUUUGUUAACUCCCUCUGUGAAUGACAACUUGUUUUAGUGGGGUGUGACCAGCCGGUCAUCUGGCAAGCACUUACAAAGACUCCAAUCCAAAAAGCCAGUCUGUUCCUAGCUCCAAAUCUGCAAGGCUUUAAUGAGGUCUUGUGGAGAAGCAGCAGAUAUCAGAGAUUCAUUAACGAUGAGGACAUCCUUGCAUAGCUACUAAUUGCUCUAACUCACUAGCUUGUGUUGUUUGUGAAAACUGGAGCCUGGUAAGCAAUGCUCUCAAUUUAAAUUGUUGUAGUGCUUUGUGCUUGCUCUGGAACUUUCCCCCUCUGCCCAUGAAUCAAAGCACAAUUCAGAUUUAUUUCCUUUUAUAUCAUGACAGAAGAGACUUACUCUGCUGGGGUCUGUGCAUACCCUCGUCUAGAUAAAUAUUCAACUACUGGAAGCUAUGCUAUUGCAAACUUUCUGAGAAAUAAUUAUAAAGGCAUCAUCAAUAGUAUGUUCCCAUGUAGUAUUUAACUACUGAACUACACCAUUUCUCAACAUCGACGUGGCAAAUAUUUUGCUGCUGCAGGUCUGAUUAAAAUUACAGUAAAAGCCUAGCCUUUUAUGAAGAGAUGUGACAAAUCACUACUUGAUGAAAACGUAUUUCCCCAGUGAAGUCAGAAAGCCUCUGGCAUAUAUUGGUUUUAGAUCUUAUUUAAAAAAACACCUUUUUUAUUCAUCUGCUCAUGCUUUUUAUGCAUGCAAUAACUGGCAGUUUACCCAAACGUUCCUUAGUUCUACCUUGCAAACUCAUUAAAAUAUGACACUUGUUAUUCAUAAUCUAUGUAUCAAAGUUCAUGUCUGAGGGUGUUUAAAUGAAGGACUAGAUAUUUCAGAGCUGUUAGUACCACUCAUUUUGCUCAGAAGUAUAUGGUAGAAUCAAGCCAGUAGGUUUUGUCUCAAGUGUUCAAAAACUAUCUCUCAAGCUGCAUUUCUACAGACAGAUAACAACCUGAGAAAUGGAAGCUUAAGUAAUUCCAUUAGAAGCUUUUGAGGGCAAUAUCAACAGAGAAUUUUGUAAAUUAAACACAGCAAGAAAUUUUAGAUCUCAGAGGGGCAUUUUCAGAACACGCAAACAGCAAGAGAUGCCCACCUGCAUCUAUCUGCCAGCUAACCACGGGUGACACUGGACCUGUGAAAAUUUACCUCCAGCCCUGUCUUCUCGCCUGACGUGCUCACUUGGGCAGCAGACGGGACAUGCACCUGACAGGCAUGCUCUUUCUAAUUGCAGUCAAGAGCAGACUUGAAGAAGCAGCAGAUUCCUGGCAAAGAUGAUGUGAAGGAGAAGGGCUCUGCUCCAGAGCAUGGAUUUUCCUUGAAGUGUCCCACAGGGUUGUCUGUGGUCUCUGCUCUGAAGCUGAAGGUGCUUUUGGAAUAGCAGCUAUGCAGAUGCCCUGCUCUGAUCCUGAGGGUCUGCACUGGUUUAACUCUCUUUCUAGAGAAAUAGCUCAAAGCUCGUCUUGGUUGAAUGACUGUGUAAUGUCCUUGUGGGAGUGAUCAUGGUUAGUAGCUUUGCACUACAGAAGGGUCAAACUUUGACCAAAAGGAUAAAAUUUACCUGAUUAAAAACUAGU